GACGAACGCUGGCGGCGUGCUUAACACAUGCAAGUCGAACGGGCCUUGUCCCCUUUUUUUUGGGGGUGGGGUUAGUGGCGAACGGGUGAGUAACACGUGAGUAACCUGCCCCUCACUUCUGGAUAACCGCUUGAAAGGGUGGCUAAUACGGGGUGUUCUGGCCUGCUCGCAUGGGUGGGUUUGGAAAGAUUCGACCGGUUUUGGUUGUUUUGGUGGGGGAUGGGCUCGCGGCCUAUCAGCUUGUUGGUGGGGUGAUGGCCUGCCAAGGCGUUGACGGGUAGCCGGCCUGAGAGGGUGGGCGGUCACACUGGGACUGAGACACGGCCCAGACUCCUACGGGAGGCAGCAGUGGGGAAUAUUGCACGAUGGGCGCAAGCCUGAUGCAGCGACGCCGCGUGAGGGAUGGAGGCCUUCGGGGUGUGAACCUCUUUCGCCAGUGAAGAAGGUCCUGCUCUUUGUGGUGGGGUUGACGGUAGCUGGGUUAAUGAAGCGCCGGCUAACUACGUG
rnacentral:rRNA from 1 species